UACGUAGGUGGCAAGCGUUAUCCGGAUUUACUGGGUGUAAAGGGCGCGUAGGCGGGAUGGCAAGUCAGAUGUGAAAUCCAGGGGCUCAACCCCUGAACUGCAUUUGAAACUGUCGUUCUUGAGUACUGGAGAGGUUGACGGAAUUCCUAGUGUAGCGGUGAAAUGCGUAGAUAUUAGGAGGAACACCAGUGGCGAAGGCGGUCAACUGGACAGCAACUGACGCUGAGGCGCGAAAGCGUGGGGAGCAAACAGG
rnacentral:rRNA from 1 species